rnacentral:rRNA from 1 species
UGGGGAAUAUUGCACAAUGGAGGGAACUCUGAUGCAGCGACGCCGCGUGAACGAAGAAGGCUUUCGAGUCGUAAAGUUCUUUUAUAUGGGAAGAUAAUGACGGUACCAUAAGAAAAAGCCCCGGCUAACUACGUGCCAGCAGCCGCGGUAAUACGUAGGGGGCUAGCGUUGUCCGGAAUCACUGGGCGUAAAGGGUUCGCAGGCGGAAAUGCAAGUCAGGUGUAAAAGGCAGUAGCUUAACUACUGUAAGCAUUUGAAACUGCAUAUCUUGAGAAGUGUAGAGGUAAGUGGAAUUUUUAGUGUAGCGGUGAAAUGCGUAGAUAUUAAAAAGAAUACCGGUGGCGAAGGCGGCUUACUGGGCUCAUUCUGACGCUGAGGAACGAAAGCGUGGGUAGCAAACAGG